UACGAAGGGGGCUAGCGUUGCUCGGAAUUACUGGGCGUAAAGGGCGCGUAGGCGGUUACUUAAGUCGGGGGUGAAAGCCCAGGGCUCAACCCUGGAACAGCCUUCGAUACUGGGUAUCUUGAGUACGGGAGAGGUGUGUGGAACUCCGAGUGUAGAGGUGAAAUUCGUAGAUAUUCGGAAGAACACCAGUGGCGAAGGCGACACACUGGCCCGUUACUGACGCUGAGGCGCGAAAGCGUGGGGAGCAAACAGG
rnacentral:rRNA from 1 species